rnacentral:SRP_RNA from 1 species
GCUGGGCGUGGUGGUGCACACCUGUAGUCCCAGCUACUCGGGAGGCUGAGGCAGGAGAAUCGCUUGAACCCAGGAGGUGGAGGUUGCAGUGAGCCAAGAUCGUGCCACUGCACUCCAGCCUGGGUGACAGAGCGAGACUCGGUCUCAA